CAAGCAGAAUCUUUGGAGUUUGUUUUUAGACACAUGUUCACCUUUUCCCCCGGUUUUGGCCUCCUGACUAAAGCAACCUUUCCUUCCCAACCAAUGCUUGUCUCUCAAGUAAUGGCAUUCAAAUGGCAAGCAGCAGAACCUGAGUUGGGUGACACACUCAACUUAUUGUGCCUAUUUUAAUUGGUAGGUGGAAGCCCCCAAAGUCUUCAAAAUUCCAAAAUAGCCUCUUUGAAAGAUUUGUUGUAGAAGGCUGAUGAAAAAUGAAUGAUAUAAAAGGUGCCUAAAACUUUACUGCUCCCCUCUAUUCUUGAGUACUUAUUCUUGUAAUAUUCUAUCUGAUGGUAUUUCCACUCUGAAGACAUUAUUAAAUGAUUAUUAAAUGAUUACCUUUAGAAAUGGGAUCACACGAAACUGUAGGCAAGCCUCUUCAGAUCAAAGGCCAAUACAAGGGCCAUAGCUAAAGAAUUUUUUAAACCCAGGGGGAAAAUCCUUAGAAUUAUUUGUAAAUAGAUUACCAAAAUGGGAGGCCAAUGGUCUGACUGUAUGUAGCUGAUAUUCAGAGACUGCCAGGAAUUUUUGGGGGGAUAGAGGGUUUUCUCCACUAGGUUAAUUAAGGGAGAGUAAAACAUUCCAACAUAUUUGAAUAGGUGUGUAUCAGUCCUUCAAUAUCAUUGAAGAGGCCACCCAAUUCUUUGAGGAAAAAAAUUCUCAUUUUAAAAAUCUAGUCUUUUCAGGACCAGAGGGGUGGCUCAGAAAUAAUCCAAAGCCUACCCAUCCUUUUACCACUCCCAUAAUUUCCCCUAUUUAUCUCAAGAGGUUUGUAAGUAUUGAGAAAAUAAAUCUUUUUUUUUUUUUUUUCUGGUCUUAAGAGAACAAAGUCAUUCUAGGAAUUACUAGAGGUAAGUGUCUAUUUCCUCCUACACCUUUGAAGUGAAAAUGUUCUAUGUAGUCUUCUACAGGAAAUCUAGCUCCACCAUAUUUUCAAAAUCCAUAUUUCAGGAAAGGAAGUAGGUAAUUUGGAACUUGACUUGUUAAAGACAAAUAGAAAUCUUAAAUGUCUUUUUCAUAAAUAUUAGUUUAAAAGGGUUUAAGCCAUCUACACAGGUGACCUUGAUUUGCUCUAUCUGCUAGAAGCCAAAUUUGAAUCCAACCUCUUUUGUAACUGAUGAGAUUUACUAUUGCUGUACCAACUCAUGGCUAAACUUUUGGAAUGUGACCUAUGAAAUCUCUGUGUCUGUGCAUUUGUAUAUAUUUAUAUAUGUGUACUGUAGAUGUGUGGUAUUGCCAAAAUUAAUUUGUAGAAGAGCUCUAUUUAAUUGCCUUAAAGGGAAUUAACCACUUAAAUAAAUACUGAGAAAUAUGAAAGAAACUGGCCAGAAUGAAUUUUGGACUCAUGUGAUCUGGGGAAUAUUUAAUAUUGAAUUAAUAAUCCGGUAUUUAAUUUAGCUUAGGCUUGUUGGUUUAAUUAAUACAGACAUGCCUUUAGAGUCAUAAAUAUUGAGUAUAAUAUUGUACCUAGGUUUAUAGAAAUCAAACAUUAUUACUCCUGUUACAAAGUUUGUCAGCAAAAUUUGUUAAGAAAAAUAAUGAUAUGAUGAAAUUUUAAUUAAAUAAAACAAGUUUAAGUGAGAUAAGAACUUUUAAGUAAACCCUUUAGGGAUGAUUAUGUUGUGCGAAUAUCUGCUUUAAGAACAGUAACUGUAGAUUUUGGUAAAUAGAAACUAAAACAAGUUAAAUUAUAAGAAUUCAUUCACUAUCUGGGUCACUUUAACUAGUAUAAAAUACUGGAACUAAGAAAAAACUGCAAACAACACAAACAUGUGAAGGCUAAACAAUAUUCUAUGAAACAACCAGUGGAACACUGGAGAAGUCAAAAAUGAAAUAAAAAAAAAUACCUAGAGACAAGUGAAAAUGAAAACACGAUCACCCAAAACCCGUGGGACAGAGCAAAAGCAUUUCUAAGAGGGAAGUUUAUAGCAAAACAAGCUUAUCUCAGAAAAUAAGAAUACUCUCAUAUAAACAACCUAACCUCACACCAAAGCAACUAGAGAAGAAAAAAACGAAACCCACAAUCAGUAGGAGGAAAAAAACCCAAAAAGAUAAGACCAGAAACAGAAGCAAAUAGAAAAGAUUAAUGAAACUAAAAGCUGGUUCUUUGAAAAUAUCAACAAAAUUGAUAAAUCUUUACCCAGACUCAUCAAGAAAAAAAUGGAAAAAGGCUCAAAUAAGUAAAAUUAUAAAUGAAAAAGUUAACAACCAACUCCACAGAAAUGCAAAGGGCCGUAAGAGGUUACUACGAGCAACUAUAUGACAAUAAAAUGCACAUCCUAGAAGAAAUGGACAAAUUCUUAGUAAGGCACAAUCUCCCAAGAUUGAAUUAGGAAGAAAUAGAAAAUAUGAACACACUAAUUACAAGUACUAAAAGUGAGUCUGCGUUUUAAAAACUCCGAACAAGAGUUCCCAUGUGGCGCAGCAAAAACAAAUCUGGCUAGGAACCAUGCAUGAGGUUGCAGGUUCAAUCCCUGGCCUCACUCAGCGGGUUAAGGAUCUGAUGUUGCCAUGAGCUGUGGUGUAGGUAGCAGAGGCAGCUUGGAUCCUGCUUUGCAUGGCUGUGGCGUUGGCUGGGAGCUGUAGCUCUGAUUCGACCCCUUGCCUGGGAACCUCCGUAUGCCAUGGGUGCAGCCCUAAAAAGCAAAACAAAAACAAAAAACCAAAACCAAAAAACUCCCAACAAACAAAAGUUCAAGACUAGAUGCUUUUAGAGAAGAGCUAACACCUAUCCUGAAACUAUUCCAAAAAACUGCAGAGGAAGGAACACUCCCAAACUCAAAGUCUAUGAGGUCACAAUUACCUCGGUACCAAAACCAUACAAAGAUACCACAAAAAAAGAAAAUUAUGGGCAAACAUCACUGAUAAACAUAGAUGUAGAAACCCUCUACAAAAUACUAACAAACUAAAUUCAACACUACAUUAAAAAGAUCAUACACCAUGAUCAAGCAGAAUUUAUCCCAGGGAGGCAAGAACUUUUCAAUAUCUGCAAAUCAAUUAGUGUGAUACACCACAUUAUGAAAUUGAAGAAUAAAAACCACAUGAGAAGUUCCCAUUGUGGCUCAGUGGAAACGAAUCUGACUGGCAUCCAUGAGGACACAGGUUUGAUCCCUGGCCUCUCUCAAUGGGUUAAGGAUCUGGUGUUGCAGUGAGCUCUAGUGUAGGUUGCAUAUGCGGCUUGGAUCUGGUGUUGAUGUGGCUGUAGCGUAGGCUAGCAGCUAUAGCUCUGAUUCAACCCCUAAACUGGGAACCUCCAUAUGCUAUGGGGGGAGCCCUAAAAAUAAAAAACAGAAAAUAUGAUCAUCUCAAUAGAUACAGAAAAAGCUUUUGGCAAAAUUCAACAUCCAUUUUUGAUAAAAACUCUCCAGAAAGUAAACAUAGAAGGAGCAAUUUCAACAUAAUAAGGACAUAUAUGACAAACCCACAGCUAACACCACACUCUAUGGUGAAAAGUUGAAAGCAUUUCUUCUAAGAUCAAAAACAAGACAAAGACGUCAACUAAUGCCACUUUUAUUGAACACAGUAUUGGAAGCACUAGUCACAGUUAUGAGUAUGAAAAAAUAAAUGAAAGGAAUUCAAACUGGAAAAAACGUAAAUUGUCACUGUUUGCACAUGACAUGAUUCUAUACAUAGAAAAUCCUAAAGACACUACCAGAAAACUAUUAGCAUUUAUCAAUGAAUUUGGUAAAGCUGCAGGAUACAAAAUUAACAUACAAAAAUCCAAUGCAUUUAUAUAUGCUUACAAUGAAAGAUCAGAAAGAGAAAUUAAGGAAACAAUAUCAUUUGCCAUCUCGUCAAAAGAAUAAAAUACCUAGGAGUAAACCUACCUGAGUAGGCAAAAACCUGUACCCCCCAAACUGUAAAAUGAAAUCAAAGAUGAUACAAAUAGAAAAGACAUACUGUGCUAGAAGAAUCAAUAUUGUUAAAAAUGCAAUCUAUAUGUUCACUGUAAUCUCUAUCAGAUUACCAAUGUAUUUUUCAAAGACCCAGAAAAAAAAUUGAAAAUAUUUUUGGAAGUACAAAAGAUCCCAAAUAGUCAAAGCAAUCUUAAGAAAAAUGAAGCUGAAGGAAUCAGGCUCCCUGACUUUAGACUAUACUAUAAUUCAAGAGCCAUCAAAACAGUAUAGUACUGGCAUAGAAUCAGAAAUAUAGAUCAAUGGAACAGGAUAGAAAGCGCAGAAAUAUUCCCUUGCACCUAUAGUCAAUUAAACCAAAACAAGGAGGCAAGACAAUGGAGAAAAGACAAUGGUGCUGGGAAAACUGUACAGCUACAUGUGAAAGAAUGAAAUCAGAACAUUCUCUAACACCAUGCACAAAAAUAAACUCAAAAUGGACUAAAGACUUAUGUAAGACUCGUAUUAUAAUACUCCGAGAGGAAAACACAGGCAAAACACUCUUUGACAUAAAUUGCAUAAUUAUCUUUUUGGAUUUGUCUCCUAGAGUAAUGUAAAUAAAAACAAAAAUAAACAAAUGGAACCUAAUUAAACUUAAAAGCUUUUGCACAGCAAAGGAAACCAUAAACAAAAUGAAAAGAUAACCUACAGGAUGUGAGAAGAUAUCUGCAAACCAUGCAACCAACAAGGGAUUAAGCUCUAACAUAUACAGAGUUUAUAAAGCUCAAUAUCAAAAAACAACCUGAUCAAAAAAUGGGCAGAAAACCUAAAUAGAAUUUUCUCUGAGGAUGACAUACAGAUGGCAAACAGGCACAUGAAAAAAUGCUCAGCGUCACUAAUUAUUAGAGAAAUGCAAAUCAAAAUUACAAGGUAUCACCUCACACGGGUCAUAAAGGCCAUCAUCAAAAAUUCCACAAAUAAGGGAGUUCCUGUUGUGGCUCAGUGGUUAACGAAUCCGACUAAGAUCCAUGAGCACUCGGGUUCGAUCCCUGGCCUUGCUCAGUGGGUUAAGGAUCCAGCGAUGCCGUUUGCUGUGGUGUAGGUUGUGGACUCCGCUCGGAUCCCGUGUUGCUGUGGCUCUGGUGUAGGCCGGCGGCUACAGCUCCGAUUGGACCCCUAGCCUGGGACUCUCCAUAUGCAGUGGGAGCAGCCCAAGAAAUGGCAAAAAG
rnacentral:lncRNA from 1 species